UACGGAGGGUGCAAGCAUUGAUCGGAAUUACUGGGCGUAAAGGGCGCGUAGGCGGUUAGAAAAGUCAGGUGUGAAAUUCCGGGGCUCAACUUCGGAGCUGCACUUGAAACUUUCUGACUGGAGGACAGUUAGGGAAAACGGAAUUCCACGUGUAGCGGUGAAAUGCGUAGAUAUGUGGAAGAACACCGGUGGUGAAGACGGUUUUCUAGGCUGAACCUGACGCUGAGGCGCGAAAGUAAGGGGAGCAAACAGGAUUAGAUACCCUGGUAGUCCUUACCGUAAACGAUGCAUACUAGGUGUAGAGGGGCUCAACCCUUUCUGUACCGGAGCUAACGCAUUAAGUAUGCCGCCUGGGGAGUACGCUCGCAAGGGUGAAACUCAAAAGAAUUGACGGGGGCCCGCACAAGCAGUGGAGCAUGUGGUUUAAUUCGAUGCAACGCGAAGAACCUUACCUGGGCUCGAAAUGUAGGAGGCGAUGACAGAGAUGUCAUUUCCCGCAAGGGCUCUUAUAUAGGUGCUGCAUGGCUGUCGUCAGCUCGUGCCGUGAGGUGUUUGGUUAAGUCCAGCAACGAGCGCAACCCUUAUCGUUAGUUGCCAGCGCGUAGUGGCGGGAACUCUAACGAGACUGCCUGGGUUAACCAGGAGGAAGGUGAGGAUGACGUCAAGUCCGCAUGGCCUUUAUGUCCAGGGCUACACACGUGCUACAAUGGUCGGUACAGAGGGCAGCGAAGCCGAGAGGUGGAGCAAAUCCCAAAAAGCCGAUCUCAGUUCAGAUUGGAGUCUGCAACUCGACUCCAUGAAGUUGGAAUUGCUAGUAAUGGCGUGUCAGCAACAACGCCGUGAAUACGUUCCCGGGCCU
rnacentral:rRNA from 1 species